UUUGGAUAAAAUGAAUGCAGUCCAUUUAACUUUCAGGUAAUUGACCUUGUGAAAAUCCAUGUAUUGAAUAUAUUUUUUCCUUUAGCUUUUGUACUUAUGUAUUGCAAGCCAUGCUGGCAUCGUAUAAAAGCACUAACAUGAGGUGAGAUGUAUGUUUUCCCUCAGCCUUUUCCUCAGGAAGAUUACACUCAAGUCUGUCUGGGCACCGGACUGGAUGAGAUCAGGUGACAGUGGGCGCAGCGGUGCAUGAUGUCUAAUUUACCUACACUAAUGACCUGUCCUUGGCACUAUCCCCUUCCAAACAAGCGGCUCGAACAGAUUUAUUUUACACACCACUGCCUCCGGGAAAGGACCCUUUCAUCUGUCUCCCAGCCCCUCUUUCUCUCUCUCUCUCUCUCUCUGUGUCUCUGAGAACGAAAACAGUGUGAAGCUGCUUUUGUCAUUGUUAUUUUUGUUUUUUCCGUGCCAUCGAUCGGGUAAACGGUUUGUUUGCUGUGCCACAGCAUUCACUGAGUCAGCGUGUUCCCGACCGAUCGGCGCGUUCCCUGUCACCCUUCUGCUCCAGUGGACUAGUGCUGGGAGCCGCAACCUGCAUAUUAACACCAGCAUCUUCGCCCGCUGUCAUUUCAGUUCUCAUACGGUACAUGCUACGCGUCACCACGCCGCACUCAGAAACCUCCACUGGGGACUAAGCGUUCAGUAAACAUUCUGUGAUUAAGAGUAGAGGACCCCGGAUCUGAAGCUAGUCUCGGGGUAAUAUCCAUCCAUCCAUUAUCUUAACCCGCUUAUCCUGAACAGGGUCGCAGAGGGGCUGGAGCCUAUCCCAGCAUACAUUGGGUGAAAGGUAGGAAUACACCCUGGACAGGUUGCCAGUCCAUCGCAGGGCACACACAGCAUUCACUCACACACUCAUACCCACGGGCAAUUCCGUGCCGCCCUUAGUCUCGGGGUAAUAUGCACCCUCAAAAUGUCUGGAGCUCUUCAUCUGGGGGUUUUGGGAGGAUCCCCUCGUCUUCCUCCUCUGAAAAGGGGUUGUUUUUCCCUCCCUAGCGUGGACAUUUUGGCUUCCUCCCACCGAGGGUUUUGUUUGUUUAGUCUCAUUAGUACUCCCACUCAAUGGCACAAUUCAUUCCUGCCAAACUCCUUUUGUUUUCAUUGUGUUGAGAUGCUUCCCCGUUCUCAUGUCUAGCUGUUAUGCUUAAUGCACAUUGGUCGAUUCUCGUGCGAUGUAUUGUACGGUGUGUUGCCUUGGUUGUGUCUCUGUCAUGUCAUGUGAGAUGCAUGUUUAAUGUAUGCCUUUGUCUCAGGAGGUAAGAGCAGUCAUCUGGCAGUCGAAGGGUUGCAAGUUCGAUCCCGCCUUGGGUGGGUCGAAGUGUCCCUGAGCAAGACACCUAACUCCCCAAAUGCUCCAGACGAGCUGGUCGGUCCCUUGUAUUGCAGACAAUUGCUGUUGGGGUUGGAAGAUUGGAGGACCUCAAUCCAAACAGAAAUGUGACCCCUGAAAUGUAUCAGCACCUCAUCUAUUGAGGGAUGAUUUGCUCUCUUAAGCCACAGUAUUUCAGGAGUAGCUGUGCAUGACGUGAAUAUUGACGCCCAAAACUCAGCAUUAAAUGAUGCCCACUGGGGGGAUGUGUGCCAGCCACAGGGGCAACUGAUAAUUUAACAGCAAGAGGCCGAUUACUUUCAGCCUCUCACCUUAAGAGAACUGUCCCAUGCCUCCGCCUCUGGGUUGAGUCAGCGAAUUGUCGGCGCACAACAAACAGACAUCCCAGUCCCUGGAGCCUGUGUUGGUUGAGCGCAAGAAAUUUCAUCUGUCUCUGCUGCUUUCUCACGACAGAAAUAAUGACUGAUCUCGAUUUUGCAGAGCGACAUCAAUUAGCAGCACGAAGCCUCUUGAAGAGAUGGAAUCAUUCUGCAGAUUACACGUUUUGGACCUUGUCUUAUCACUGUGUCAAACCAUUGUGAUAUCCUCAGCUAUGGUUUGGAACAAAGUUUAUGGAUUUCGCAUGAAAUACUUGCUUAGGUGAUUGGCACAGUCACUUCUAUGAAGCCUGCUUUAAAUUCUGGUUUAAAAACAUUUAAGAAAAUCCUGUGCAUACGUGCCUGAACUAAAGUCUCUAAUUCAACCGCAAUGUUAUUUAUGAAGUGAAAUGACUCCAGGGUGGAUUACACCAGGCAAUCAUGGGCAGGGAGCGGUGGAGGGACCUAAGAGACAAACAGAAUAUUCUGUUCUGCGAACCGUCAGUCGUGUGAACUGUGGUGUGAAGUAUAUGUCGUUAGUCGAUGGUUUGAUUGAGCAGGAGGUAUGACUGAUUGUGGAUUAAUAUGCGUGUGUUCUGUGACGCGACGUGAGCCAGUCUCCAUCCACUUCCUGCAGCUCUUUUAAAUUCGUGGAAGUGGAGUGGAGUGCUAGCUUUGCUCCCUCCUGCAAUUUCAGUGAAAGGGAAUCGCACGGUUGCACAAAGGGCCCUGAGAUUUAGCUGGACCCCUGCCAUGGACGUUUUCUAAAUCAGAUAUACCCUCCUUCUCGCUCACUGGAGCUGUUAGCAAGCUGGUUGAGCCGACGCUGCUAAAUUUAUUUUCCAUUACCGAACGUCAGAGCUUCCUCUGCAGUCUCACGCGGCCUGCGUCUGUCUGUGCGCCGUGAUCAGCGAUGGCGGCGUGCUGCUCCUUCGCCCGGAGCUGCUCGCCGGGAGAUGGGCCACGCGUGACCUCAGAGGACUGAGCUAGCGCGGGUCAUCGGGGUAGGAGCUGGACCGGAGCGACCAGCGCUGAGGAAGCCAGUCUGACUACAGCUCAUCGGUCAGAGCUGAAAACGAUGCGCGCAGACCGCGGGACACCCAGGCAAAACCGCCUCGCCCGCGUCUGUCGUCCAUUUUGUGGAUUUGUCUCCCUCCCCCCGUCGAGAGACCUCUUAAGUGGGUGUCAUUGAGAAGCUGUGUGAAGUCCAAAUUGGUUUUCGGUUGGGCGAAACAAGGAUUUUUUUUACCAGAAUGCCGCGGCCUCUGGUCUCCUGCGGGGACGCCGCCCGCCUCUCUCCCUCCUCUCCCUCCUCUUCCUCUCCCUGAGAUCUCGUGUGGGCUACACGGCCCUCCAGAACACUCGACGGCAGGCGGGAGAUUGCACUCAAUCUCUGGCUUCGGCCAUUUUUACAGUGAAGGCUCGGCUCUGCUGUUUCAGGAGAGAGAGCAGAAUUGAGUAGAUUGUCUCCUAUAUACCCAAACCCAUGAGUGUCAUUUCCAUUAAUGCAAUCAAUGUCUAGUACUCAUGCAGAAAUAAUGUGUCCUUUUAAGUAACGUGCUUUCAUGUCUUUAAGAUGUUUUUUGAAGAAAAUGGCAGGAGUUAUUUCUUUAUUCUCUCUCUCUCUCUCUCUCUC